rnacentral:rRNA from 1 species
AGCUCUAAUAGCGUAUAUUAAAGUUGUUGCAGUUAAAAAUCUCGUAGUUGGAUUCCUGGUGGGAGGAAUCGGUUCUGCACUCUUUGUAGGAACUUGAAUCCUCUCCAGCCAUCACUAGGUGGAUCUUGUCUGGCAUUAAGUUGUCAGUCAGGGAAUGCCCAUCGUUUACUGUGAAAAAAUUAGAGUGUUCAAAGCAGGCUUUUGCCAUUGAAUAUAUAAGCAUGGAAUAAUAAGAUAAGGCCCUGGUACUAUUUUGUUGGUUUGCGUACCGAGAUAAUGAUUAAUAGGGGCAGUUGGGGGUAUUUGUAUUCAGUAUUCAGUGGUGAAAUACUUAGACCUACGGAAGAUACACUACUGCGAAAGCAUUUACCAAGGAUGUUUUCA